CAUAUCCAUGCUCAAUUCUUGCAGAACCACAGACCUGUUCUGCUCACACCCAUAGCAGGCAGCAACCAGCAUGCCACCCAAAACCGACAUCAACUCAGGAUCACUGAAAAACACAAAUGGCAGAUCGUAUACCUGUUUUAUUCCAGGACUCUUUCCCCACCGAAGAACAGCUUGAUUUUCAGGGCAGAACAGGGCAAAAUAACCAAGAAGCAAAAGAGAUUCAUGCAGAAGCAACCCAACCUGAUAUAAAUUGGAGAUGUUAUAGCUUUAUGCAGAUGUUCCAGAAAUACAUACUUCAUACACAGUUGUAUGAUAGUGCAACUAAAAUUCAUCACUAUUCCCAUUUUAACCCACCUCCAAAAUAAUUUGUUUCAAAGUCACAUUUGCUAUAUGUAAAAAUUGCUUACAUUUAGAUCAUAAUCUUAUAUAUAAUUUACAAGUUGAAAGCU